rnacentral:lncRNA from 1 species
AUAUAAUGGAAAAAGUCAAUGCUCUCGGUGAGCGAUUGAAAAUCGGGGGGUCAGAGGUUGGUCAGAAGAUUAGUGCAGGAGUGAGUUCGGUUAGUUUUAAGAUGAAGGAGUUUUUCCAAGGACCGAGUCAGGUUGACAAGAUUGUGGAGGAGGCGACUGCGGAUACGUUGGAUGAACCUGACUGGUCGACGAAUCUCGAGCUUUGUGAUAUGAUAAAUCAUGAUAGGAUUAAUAGUAUUGAACUGAUUAGGGCGGUUAAGAAACGGAUUGUGUUGAAGAUCCCUAGGGUUCAGUACUUGUCUUUGGUUUUGCUUGAGACUAUUGCUAAGAAUUGCGAGAAGGCGUUUUCGGAAAUUGCGGCGGAGAGGGUGCUUGAUGAGAUGGUGAAGAUGAUUGAUGACCCUCAGACUGUUAUUAAUAACCGAAACAAGGCUCUGAUGAUGAUUGAAGCGUGGGGAGAGUCUUCGGAUGAGCUUCGUUAUCUGCCUGUUUAUGAAGAGACUUACAAGGUAUACUACAUCGAAUUGUCUUAAGUAUGGUUUAAGGUUUUGUGAGUAUGUAAAUUGAAACGGAGGGAGUAAUAAACUAAAUAUGAUGAUGUGAAAAAAAUACUCCUCGUAUCAUGUAUUAACGCUAUAUUAUAUAUUUCCUCCGUCCCAUCAGUUCUUGUGUUAUUUUUAACACGCAUUUUAAGGUUCUUAUAAAGUAUACUUACAUUAUAUUAUUUUUUUUAAGAAAUUGAAAAAAGUUUGAAAUUUAAACUUUUAUUUAAAAAAAGAAAAAAUUAAAAAUACAUUAUAAAAUUAUAUUUUACGAGAGCCACGAAAUGUGUGCAAACAGUACAUAAACUUCUAGGCGUGACAGAGGGAGUAGUGUUUUUGAUAUUACUUAUAAAUGCUAUUUCAUGUAACGUUUUGUUGAAAUUUCAAAAAAAAAAUUAUCAUAUCAUGUAACAUUCAGUUGAAAUUAUGUUAAUAGUUUAUUUUUAUCAAAAUAGUAAAAAAAGAAUAAAAUAUGUGAUGAUUUAAAAAAAUAAAUAUGAAUAAAGUUUUUUAAUAAGUAUAAAUAAAUAACCAAGUACCCAAUAAAACACACAAAAGCAUUAAAAGAUGCAUAAACAGGCUACACACACGCAACUUAGCAAAAAAUCCAAUAUUAUAAUUUAUUUAUUUUUUCGAAACAUCCAAUAUUAUAAUGUAUAAAAAUUCAUAGAUAAGGCCAAAUAUCAAAUAAACAAAAAAAUUAAUAUUCCGACCACCUGGAGUCAAACAGAGAGACCUGGUCCGGUCCAUGAAUUAAUUUAAUGCAAUAACGUAAACCAGACUGCAUUUUGAAGCAAAGAAACUUCCAAAGUCUCCCAACUUACACAUUAGUCUUCUUUCUUCAAAUCAACGCGUUUCGCUUCUAUAAUUCCUUGCAAUUUUCAGGUACUCAUUCCUCUAUUUCUCAAAAUUUUAAUUUAAUCUCGCUUUGAUCUGAACAUCUGUCAGUUUAUUAUAUCUCUUGAGCCACCGACUUCUCGUAAAUAAAUUUAUGAUUCAAAUUUUUGGUACUGUUUUAUAAAAAAAAUACGAACUGUGUGUAGUGUGUAUUUAUAUGAUUCGUAUUUGAUCUGUUAGUUUUGAUAUCCGUAAGUUAGUUAGGGUUUUGUGUUUCUGUGUGAUUUUCAUUUGUUUACAUUUUUGUGUUUGCCAGUAAGCUAAUUAGGCCUGUUUAGGUUUUGUAGAGGUGUAAUUGGAGAAGCGAGUUUCGAGAAUGAGUGAUAAUAUAAUGGAAAAAGUCAAUGCUCUCGGUGAGCGAUUGAAAAUCGGGGGGUCAGAGGUUGGUCAGAAGAUUAGUGCAGGAGUGAGUUCGGUUAGUUUUAAGAUGAAGGAGUUUUUCCAAGGACCGAGUCAGGUUGACAAGAUUGUGGAGGAGGCGACUGCGGAUACGUUGGAUGAACCUGACUGGUCGACGAAUCUCGAGCUUUGUGAUAUGAUAAAUCAUGAUAGGAUUAAUAGUAUUGAACUGAUUAGGGCGGUUAAGAAACGGAUUGUGUUGAAGAUCCCUAGGGUUCAGUACUUGUCUUUGGUUUUGCUUGAGACUAUUGCUAAGAAUUGCGAGAAGGCGUUUUCGGAAAUUGCGGCGGAGAG